rnacentral:rRNA from 1 species
UACGUAGGUGGCAAGCGUUAUCCGGAAUUAUUGGGCGUAAAGAGCGCGCAAGUGGUUGAUUAAGUCUGAUGUGAAAGCCCACGGCUUAACCGUGGAGGGUCAUUGGAAACUGGUCGACUUGAGUGCAGAAGAGGGAAGUGGAAUUCCAUGUGUAGCGGUGAAAUGCGUAGAGAUAUGGAGGAACACCAGUGGCGAAGGCGGCUUCCUGGUCUGUAACUGACACUGAGGCGCGAAAGCGUGGGGAGCAAACAGGAUUAGAUA